AGGGCCGGUGGUUGGUGAGCUCGGCGCCCGAGGGGCCGGGAUCCGCUCUCAGUCGGUGGGCUCUUCUACUGUCAUUGAGCUUGCUCUCUCUGCGAAUGGGUCUCCACGCUGUACAGUGAGAUGAGGCCCCUGGAUUCGCACACAAAAAGCUGUCAAAACUUUGAUUUAUAAUUUCCACCACAGCCUCCAUAAUUACCGACGGGGGAACAGGCAGGAAAAAGGUGCGGAGAAAACAGAAAAACCUUGCCUUAAAAAAAAACCACCUCAAAUUACUGAGACGCCGACUCGCCCGGGACUAAUACUAUUAUCAGAUGACUUCUGUGUUUGCCGAAAUAUGGCAGAAUGCCUAACAACACCAGGGGAAGGGAUUGUCGACGGAAACUAGCCUCUUAGCUAACUCAGAGCCCUCCUCUGUUGCUCUCCCUGAGGUUUCUUCCUAUAUUUUCCUCCCCGUUAAAGGUUUUUUUUUUAGGGGGGGGGGGGCUUG